rnacentral:rRNA from 1 species
UAGGGAAUCUUCCACAAUGGGCGCAAGCCUGAUGGAGCAACACCGCGUGAGUGAAGAAGGGUUUCGGCUCGUAAAGCUCUGUUGUUAAAGAAGAACACGUAUGAGAGUAACUGUUCAUACGUUGACGGUAUUUAACCAGAAAGUCACGGCUAACUCGCGCCAG